CACACACACACACACACACACACACACACAGCCCCUCCUAGCCGGGAUAAGAUCUGAGAUUCCCUUUCUUCCUUCCCCAGGUUUCUGGGAGGCCAGGAACAGCGCUCAGAUCACCUGAGUCUCUCCAAGGAUAGAGACCUCCCCUCCUUUUUCUGGUGUUUACAGAACAGUAAGAAAGCGAGGUUAGGUGCAGAAGGGCCUCGCCAUUCCUGGCCCCCAGGGGUGUGGGUGCUGAGAGGCGGAGCCAGCGGCCCAGGCCUCUCCGCAUUGGGCGGGCUCGGCAGGUAACCCGAAGCUUGGCGGAGAGGUGCAUAAAUAAAGUGUGGAACUAGCACCACCUCCUUGAAAGGGGCUGAGUCCUACUUCUUCACCUUUGCCUUGGAAAAACCGGCUUCUCUCUCUUUUAUUGUCUGUGCUGAAAGUUCAACUGAGCCCCACCGUACUCCAAACUCUUUCUUUCUGGCUGAAUUUGCUCCCCUCUCCUCCAUCUCCCCUAUCCUCUGCUUUCAUAUGCUUUUUUAAUUAAAGGUAAAGUGACUGUUCAGGACUGGCCCCCACCUGCCCUCACUCAGGACCCAUUUCUGUUCUGCAGGGGCCUGCUCAGCUGGACACUUUAUACACUCAGAGGAGGCCCUGUUACCUGAAGGUACAGACACUCAUACUGACAGAUUUCAGUGGAGUGAAGUUCAGGAGGCGUGGAACUGACACCAGAGCAGCUGCAAGCGUAGCUUUGACUUGGAAAAGGAAAGGCCCAGUGAGAGGUGUGAGAGAUGCAGACAUCUGCUGUGAGUAUCCUUCCGCAGAUGGGACGGGCGAUGGGCAGAUUGGCAGAAGCGCCACAGAUGGGAUCUGCUUAUUCUUUCUAAAAUGAAUGCCAUGGACGUGUGUGUUUUCUGUAACUCAUAAAAAUUAAAAGUUUUCUGUC